ACGGGUGAGUAACACGUGGGUAACCUGCCUGUAAGACUGGGAUAACUCCGGGAAACCGGAGCUAAUACCGGAUAGUUCCUUGAACCGCAUGGUUCAAGGAUGAAAGACGGUUUCGGCUGUCACUUACAGAUGGACCCGCGGCGCAUUAGCUAGUUGGUGAGGUAACGGCUCACCAAGGCGACGAUGCGUAGCCGACCUGAGAGGGUGAUCGGCCACACUGGGACUGAGACACGGCCCAGACUCCUACGGGAGGCAGCAGUAGGGAAUCUUCCGCAAUGGACGAAAGUCUGACGGAGCAACGCCGCGUGAGUGAUGAAGGUUUUCGGAUCGUAAAGCUCUGUUGUUAGGGAAGAACAAGUGCAAGAGUAACUGCUUGCACCUUGACGGUACCUAACCAGAAAGCCACGGCUAACUACGUGCCAGCAGCCGCGGUAAUACGUAGGUGGCAAGCGUUGUCCGGAAUUAUUGGGCGUAAAGGGCUCGCAGGCGGUUUCUUAAGUCUGAUGUGAAAGCCCCCGGCUCAACCGGGGAGGGUCAUUGGAAACUGGGAAACUUGAGUGCAGAAGAGGAGAGUGGAAUUCC
rnacentral:rRNA from 1 species